rnacentral:rRNA from 1 species
CAGUCGCCGCGGGAAUACGUAGGGUGCAAGCGUUAUCCGGAAUUAUUGGGCGUAAAGAGCUCGUAGGCGGUUUGUCGCGUCUGCUGUGAAAACUGGAGGCUCAACCUCCAGCCUGCAGUGGGUACGGGCAGACUAGAGUGCGGUAGGGGAGAUUGGAAUUCCUGGUGUAGCGGUGGAAUGCGCAGAUAUCAGGAGGAACACCGAUGGCGAAGGCAGAUCUCUGGGCCGUAACUGACGCUGAGGAGCGAAAGCAUGGGGAGCGAACAGGAUUAGAGACCCCAGUAGUCCCUGUCUCUUAUAC